ensembl:lncRNA
UUUUUCCUACCUUAGAGAAAGAGAGAGAGAUGGGGAAGCUGGGGGAUUUCCAUUAAGGAGAAACCAGAGACGAUCAAAGGAGGAGGAGAGUGGUGCUGCCCUUUAAGAAAGCCUGCCAGAGCUCUGGAACUGGGACUCUUAAGAAACUUCUGUAAUGUGCCAAGUAAAGUGAGAAAGCUCUUCGUGGGGUCAAAAGAGAAGCUACAAGAGGAGGCCCCACGGAAGACUUGGCAGAAGAGAGUGGGAAGGAGUUUCACAUGGAUGGAUCAGAGCCUUUGCCUCACAAGGCCUAUCUUUGGAGAAUGUAGUCAGGCCAGCAUGGACUCCAUAGCUGAAUGUGGCUCAGACAAAGCAUCUGUCUCUCCGUCUUUCAAUCAAACUUACAAAGAAAAUCAUCAGGCCCUCAGUGGAGAAAUGAGUAAUGCACAGGAUUUCAUGGAAGAGGAAACAGGACUAGUAAAUAAACGGAUGGAAGACUGAGGUCCAUCCUAACUAGAAAUAAAAUGAAAAGCACAUUUGAGGUGCAGUUUUCUUUUUUAAACUAAACUUGCAAGAUUUUAUUAAGUGGUAACACUCAGUUCUGGGAACAUCUUAAAAUUGGUAUCCUCCCACAAGGAUGGUGACACUUUAAAUUUGGACAAGUCUUUGGGGGAAAAAAAAUCAAGCAAUGUAGAAGAGGUAGAAAUAAAAACAGGAGAGCUACAGAUGCAUGCAGACACUCACUGCAUCAUUAUCUGACUUAAAAGAACCUCAAUAAUCCCAAACAGAGCACGUUACGUCACAGUGCACAUUACAACAUUAUACAGCAAUUACAAUUAUAAUUACGAGGACUACAGAGAAACAAGGAGAUAUUAAGAAUCUAAAAAAUAUGGAAUUUCAUGCAAGCAAUGAGUGCAUCUAUGCAAAAUGUGCACAUAUAAUAAAAUGUACGCAUGUGGAGAAAAAUUGGAAGGCAAUACGCAAACAAUAAAAAUAGCUCUAUAGCAACAGUGAG